rnacentral:rRNA from 1 species
UUGUUGGUAAGGUAAAAGCUUACCAAGGCUUCGAUCAGUAGCUGGUCUGAGAGGACGACCAGCCACACUGGGACUGAGACACGGCCCAGACUCCUACGGGAGGCAGCAGUGGGGAAUUUUGGACAAUGGGGGCAACCCUGAUCCAGCCAUGCCGCGUGAGUGAAGAAGGCCUUCGGGUUGUAAAGCUCUUUCAGCCGGAACGAAACGGUUACGGUUAACACCCGUGACUACUGACGGUACCGGAAGAAGAAGCACCGGCUAACUACGUGCCAGCAGCCGCGGUAAUACGUAGGGUGCGAGCGUUAAUCGGAAUUACUGGGCGUAAAGCGUGCGCAGGUGGUUUUGUAAGUCAGAUGUGAAAGCCCCGGGCUCAGCCUGGGAACUGCGUUUGAAACUACAAGACUAGAGUGUGGCAGAGGGGGGUGGAAUUCCGCGUGUAGCAGUGAAAUGCGUAGAGAUGUGGAGGAACACCGAUGGCGAAGGCAGCCCCCUGGGUCAACACUGACGCUCAGGCACGAAAGCAUGGGGAGCAAACAGGAUUAGAUACCCUGGUAGUCCAUGCCCUAAACGAUGUCAACUAGUUGUUGGGCCUUUACGGGCUUGGUAACGUAGCUAACGCGUGAAGUUGACCGCCUGGGGAGUACGAUCGCAAGGUUAAAACUCAAAUGAAUUGACGGGGGCCCGCACAAGCGGUGGAUUAUGUGGAUUAAUUCGAUGCAACGCGAAAAACCUUACCUACCCUUGACAUGUAUCGAAGCCCGCAGAAAAGCGGGGGUGCCCGAAAGGGAACGAUAACACAGGCGCUGCAUGGCUGUCGUCAGCUCGUGUCGUGAGAUGUUGGGUUAAGUCCCGCAACGAGCGCAACCCUUGUCAUUAAUUGCCAUCAUUUAGUUGGGCACUUUAAUGAGACUGCCGG